GUCUGGGUAGCUUAGUGGUUAAAGCAUCACCCUCCUAUCCCAUACUGUUGGUUAACCACUGCACAGUUUGGUAUAGAGCAGAAUGGGGUCCACCCAAGUUCAAAUCUUGGCCCAGACA
rnacentral:tRNA from 1 species